rnacentral:rRNA from 1 species
GACGAACGCUGGCGGCGUGCCUAAUACAUGCAAGUAGAACGCAGUUGCGAACGGGUGAGUAACGCGUAGGUAACUUCCUCCUUGCGUGGGAUAACUAUUGGAAACGAUAGCUAAUACCGCAUACUGUGAUAUUGACCUGCGUUGUAUUAGCUAGUUGGUGAGGUAAAGGCGCACCAAGGCGAAGGUACAUAGCCGACCUGAGAGGGUGAUCUGCCACACUGGGGUGGGUACACGGGCCAUACUCCUACGGGAGGGCGCAGGAGGGAAUCUUCGGCAAUGGACGGAAGUCUGAACGGGCAACGCCGCGUUAGUGAAGAAGGUUUUCGGAUCGUAAAGCUCUGUUGUUCGAGAAGCGGUAACUAAAAAGAAAGGGACGGCUAACUCCGAGCCAGCAGCCGCGGUAAUAG